AAAUCAAACUUCAUUCGAAUCACAGUGUCAAAAUUACCAGUAAAUACAUAUCAUAUCAAAUGUCUCGUUUAAUUUCAAUCCGUUUUUCGGCUUUGAAAAACAAUGCGAGAUUAAUACAGAAUAUAACUCGAAAUUACGUCUCGCCGCCGAUUCCUCCACAUCCAGAUAGUUUAUCAUUUAAAGCACGAAAACAAAUCGAAGAUCGAGAACAAAAACGAUGCUUGGAAGAGCAUAUAUAUCCACGACGUAACGAAACACCUCCACAUACCGGUGAUCGUAAAUUUAAACAUGAAGAUUUUCCAAGUCAUAUGCACGAUGAACAAUUAAAAAUUGAAAAGAAAAAUAUAGAAACGAAUGACCCUACCGAUCCAAUUCAUAAAAGAUAUCCUAAACAAGAAAAAUGGACGGAGAAGCCACCACAAAGUCCUUCACCUCCAAAGAAAACAGACGGUUAUUAAGAUUUAGAUCUUACAUUUUGCAGUUCACACAAUGUCUAAUAGAAAUGCAGUACUUUUAAUACACACGUUAUGGAGCCGUAUGGCAUUUCGGAACUGCCAUACAUCUGGACGUUGUGGAUAUAUACCUCAAGGAGGUUUUAUGAAUACCAAUCCUCAAUCUCCAUCACCGUUCAUCAGAAAACAUCUGAACAUUGAAAAAGAUCGAGCGAUUCGACGAUGUUUAGAUGAAAAUAUAAAUCCACGAUUAUCUCCAGUCCCACCACGUACACAGGAUCGUAAAUAUCUACAAUAUGAAUUAUACGACAAUGACAAUAAUCCAGCUGGCGAACGACAACGUAGAAUUGAUCGGCAUAGAAGUUUAGAUACAAAUGACAUCACAGAUCCUGUCUAUAAUAAACGCUUUUACAAAUGAUAAACUGUUUUCAUUAAAAUGUAUGCAUUUCUCCGAUAUUUUGCUGUUGUAAUUUUUUAAUAAAUUAAUUUUCCAUCCAA